rnacentral:rRNA from 1 species
UACGGAGGGUGCAAGCGUUAUCCGGAUUCACUGGGUUUAAAGGGUGCGUAGGCGGGUUUUAAGUCAGCGGUGAAAGCUCCGAGCUUAACUCGGAAAUUGCCGUUGAUACUAUUAAUCUUGAAUUUAGUUGAGGUGGGCGGAAUGUGUAGUGUAGCGGUGAAAUGCUUAGAUAUUACACAGAACACCUAUUGCGAAGGCAGCUCGCUAAACUAAUAUUGACGCUGAGGCACGAAAGCGUGGGGAUCAAACAGG